ACAAUGUCAGAUUCCAGAUAAGAUGAAAAUUGAUUAAUGAGGGACUACUGUACUUAUUUAGUUCUACAGAUAGUAGGUAUUAAAGUACAUAGUAGGAUGAAGACUGGUAGGAACGCCCUGUAAAUCUAGUAGAAAUGACAAUUUGAAGACUGGAACCUUAUAAGAAUUCAGACAAAGUUCUGAAAACAGUGGAGAAAAUUCGUGUCACAGCCAUCUGUCAAGGAAAAAAAUGACAGAAAAUAUUUGCACAUUAUGCUGCAGAAUUGUAUUUAUGUAAACGAAAUACAAAACCAAAAUGGUGAUAGUAAUAGAAGCACAUCUAUUGUAUUGUCUUUUGACCCAAAUAGCCAUGUUGUUACUGGUCAACCAUAUUGUUUUGUGUUAUUUGAAUGAAUUUGUUCUCUCUUUUACAGGUUCCCCCCUCCACCACCUUUGAGAAGUUACGGCCCAUCUGACCGCCGGCCGUACUAAGCGCGCGAAGUACGUCGGGAGCACCGCCACCAUAACAUCGAUUGUUGGUGUUGGCGCGGUAGAGUGGCAUCAAUGUAUUUGUAUUGUCUCGGUAUUGUUCGUACCGGAUCCGUAGUGCCGCCGUGUCCACGCCGUGCCGCGCUGCUCUAGAGACCUGAAAUGGGCAAACGAGGCUCACUCAUGCAAUAUCUGUGGGCAUUACUUUAUUAUCAAUGUCAUUUCGAAUAUUGAGUAUUUACUGUAAUAUUGUAGCUGUUGUAGAAUCGAUCUGACAACCAGAAAAUAUUUGUGUAGGGAGUACUGUUUACAUUGCCUUAUUUUGUCAUUUUUGGUUUGUAACAUGAUUACUCAAAUCAUUUGUAGUUGAUAGUGUUUUAUUAAUUAGAAAAUAAAGGCAUAAAUCAUGAA